GCCGGGGCUACUGUGAGGAGCCUGGCGGACGGGGUCUCACUGUGUCACCCAGGUUACCAGGUCGGAGUGCAGUGGUGUGAUCGCGGCUCACUGCAACCUCCACCUCCGAGGCUCAAUCGAUCCUCCCAACUCAGCCUCCCAAGUAGCUGGGACCACAGACAUCCUCCAUGUGCCUGGCUAAUUUUUUGUAUUUUCGGUAGAGACAAGGGUUUCGCCACGUUGCCCAGGCUGGUCUCGAACCCCUGAGCUCAGGCGAUCCACCCACCUCAGCCUCCCAAAGUGCUGGGAUGACAGGCGUGAGCCACUGUGCCCGGCCUAAAUGCCAGCUAUUAAAUAACUCAGGGACUGAAGGCUUGAGGACGCAUCAGGUUAAAUAGUAGUCAGUGCAGCCCUGGGAGAUGCUAAGCCUGGGGCUGCCACAGAUGGUGUGGUAUCUGGGGUUCCCCCAAGGCCAUCAGGCCACUCACUAGCAGGUUUCUGGGUGCCGAAGUGGAGCUCCAGGUCGAGGUAUUUCACCAUGUCACUCAGCUUAUCGUAGUCAGAGUCUUCCCCGAGCUGCGAGGGAGGAUGGGAGGUUCAGAGUAGGAGGAGCAGCAGCAGCUGGACUGGCCUCCCACUUCCCACCCUCUGAGGGCUGCCAUAGGGGCUUCCCGAGCAAAAGCACCCAUCAGGUGCUGGGAUAAAGCCCGGAGCAGGAGGAGACUGCAGGAGAAGCCAGAUCAUCCGAGUCACCGGGUGCUGAGCCAGCGCCUCCUGGGGUCAAUCGAGACUCAAGACUUGGAACACUACUCGUGCAGAAGCCAGCAAGGUCUCCUUGGAGAGCGGUGAGUUCACCAGGGCUGCCCUGGGCAGAGUGAGCUGGUGCUGAGAGAACUGCAACUGUGACAGCCUAGGGGCCAGACGCUGGACACGUGGCUGUGAUGAAUGGCAUAGAUGAGAGACCGCCACACCUCGCCUCACCCGCCUCCCUCCACACCUGCUUGCGUGCCCACCUCCUCGUAGUCGUUCUCCGGGGUCAGGAAAUCAUCCACGAUGGUGACCCGGGGGCCCAGCUGCUCGCUCAGCACGUCCAGGAAGCGCUACCAAAUAGGGAAGGGCCCCCUGUCUGGCGGACACGUGACUCACAUGACCUUACCUAUCAUUGGAGAUGACUCUCACUCCAUACCCUGCCCCUUUGCCUUGUACACAAUAAAUAACAGCACGGCCAGGCAUUCGGGGCCACUACUGGUCUCCGCGUCUUGGUGGUAGUGGUCCCCCGGGCCCAGCUGUCUUUUCUUCUAUCUCUUUGUCUUGUGUCUUUCUUUCUUUUUUU
rnacentral:lncRNA from 10 species